rnacentral:rRNA from 1 species
UGCCAUCCGCCGCGGUAAUACGUGUGGGGCAAGCGUUGUUCGGAAUUACUGGGCUUAAAGGGUUCGUAGGCGGUUUUGUAAGUCAGGGGUGAAAGUCGGUGGCCCAACCAUCGAAUUGCCUUUGAUACUGCAUCACUUGAGUGUGUUAGGGGAGAGCGGAACGUGUAGUGUAGCGGUGAAAUGCGUAGAUAUUACACGGAAGGCCGGAGCCGAAGGCGGCUAACUGGCUCGGUACUGACGCUGAGAUGCGAAAGCGUGGGGAGCAAACAGGAUUAGAUA